GACGAAGGGCUAGCGUAGUUGUGAAUCACUGGGCUAAAGGCGCGUGAGAGCGGGCCGCCACGUCGGCUGCUGAAAUCCCCCGGCUCAACCGGGGAAGGGGCACCGAUACGAGCGGCCUGGAGGGGGGUAGGGGGGUCUGGAACUUCCGGUGGAGCGGUGAAAUGCGUUGAGAUCGGAAGGAACGCCCGUGGCGAAAGCGAGGCCCUGGACCCUUACUGACGCUGAGACGCGAAAGCCAGGGGAGCGAACGGG
rnacentral:rRNA from 1 species